rnacentral:rRNA from 1 species
UACGUAGGGUGCAAGCGUUAUCCGGAUUCACUGGGUUUAAAGGGCGCGCAGGCGGAUUUGUAAGUCAGUGGUGAAAGGCUUAAGCUUAACUUGGGAACUGCCAUUGAUACUAUAAGUCUUGAAUGUUGUUAGGUUUGCGGAAUGGGUCAUGUAGCGGUGAAAUGCAUAGAUAUGACCCGGAACACCUAUUGCGAAGGCAGCAGGCUAAACAAAUAUUGACGCUGAGGCUCGAAAGCGUGGGGAUCAAACAGG